rnacentral:rRNA from 1 species
UACGGAGGAUGCAAGCGUUAUCCGGAAUUAUUGGGCGUAAAGCGUCCGCAGGUGGUUAUGUAAGUCUGCUGUUAAAGAGUGAGGCUCAACCUCAUAAGAGCAGUGGAAACUACAUAGCUAGAGUGCGUUCGGGGCAGAGGGAAUUCCUGGUGUAGCGGUGAAAUGCGUAGAUAUCAGGAAGAACACCGGUGGCGAAAGCGCUCUGCUAGGCCGCAACUGACACUGAGGGACGAAAGCUAGGGGAGCGAAUGGG